AGAAGAGAAGAAGAGUUGUGUUGGGCUGGCAAAUGGCAAUGGCAUGUAAGGAUCUAAGUUGGAACAAAUGGGAAACGGACAAUAUACUGCAUAAUUCAAAUCAAUAAAUAUUACUACGAUUCAAAUUUAGGCAUAGAGACUAGAGACAAAAUGCUGGAUUCAAUCAUUCAAAAGUGGAGGGCCUAAUUUUCCUCUAUAUCAAGUAUCUAUCAUUGC
rnacentral:lncRNA from 1 species